GCAAGUCGAUAUGAUUUGAUAUUGAUUAAAUUUUACUAUGUUAUUUUGUUUUAAUUAUUUGUUAUUAAAUUAUUAUUUUUGUUGGUGUAUUUAUUAAAAAUAAAAUUUUUGUUGGUUAUAAUAUAUUUGUACUGUAAAGGUUUAUUUGAAAUAAUUUUACAUUAUUUAAUAAGUUGAAUUUAAUUUUUGUACCUUGUGUAUCAGGGUUAAUUAAUCAUUAUUUAAUUAUUUGAUAUUCUCGAUUUCUUUAGAGUUAAUAGGAUAUUUUAUUUAUUGUAUUAUAAAUAUUAAAAAUUUUUUAUUAGUAGUGAAAUGUUAUUCGUUAAUGAAGGUAUCUAGUUUCUUAAGAAAUGAAUUUAAUUUAUAUAAUUUCUUUAAUUAUUAAUUUUUUUAUUGGUGUUUAAGUUAUUAUGAAUUAUAAAGGGGAUAAUCUCUUUAUAUUAUUUUUAUAAGGUAAUUUUAUUGUAAAUUUGUGUGGAUUUAAUAAUGGUUAUUAUUAUGAGUAUUUUAAAAUUUUAGUUUUGUAAUAUAUAAUUUUUGGUUCUUUAAUUUUAUAUUAAGAAUUUUUAUUUAAUUUUUUUUUAAUUUUUAUAAUGUUUAAAUUAGUAUAAUUUCUUUAAGAUAUUUUUAUAUGUGAAGUAUUUUCGAGGAAUUAGGCAAUAAUUUAUUCGCCUGUUUAACAAAAACAUCUUUUCUUGUUGUGUAUAUGAAAUAUGGCCUGCCCAAUGAGAAUUUUAAUGGCCGCGGUAUUUUGACCGUGCAAAGGUAGCAUAAUCAUUAGUCUUUUAAUUAAGGGCUGGAAUGAAUGGUUGGACGAGAUAAGUACUGUCUUGAUUUUAUUUAAUUAAAAUUUAACUUUUAAGUCAAAAGGCUUAAAUUUAUUUUUGGGACGAGAAGACCCUAUAGAGUUUAUAUAUAUAUAUUUACUAUAUUAAGUUUGUAAAUUUUUUGGUAAUUUAAAUUUAUUUGGUUGGGGUGACAGUAAGAUAAUUAAAACUCUUAUUUUUGUUUAAUUAUAUAUUUAUAUAUUAUUGAUCCAUUAUUAAUGAUUAAAAGGUUAAAUUACCUUAGGGAUAACAGCGUAAUCUUUUUUGAGAGUUCAUAUCGACAAAAGGGGUUGCGACCUCGAUGUUGGAUUAAGAUAAUAUUUUGGUGUAGAAGCUGAAAUUUUAGGUCUGUUCGACCUUUUAAUUCUUACAUGAUCUGAGUUCAAACCGGCGAGAGCCAGGUUGGUUUCUAUCUAAUAAAUAAUUUAAUAUUUUAGUACGAAAGGACCAAAUAUUAGAAAUAAUUUUUGUUUUAUUGAUUAUUAUUAACUAUUUUGGCAGAUAAGUGCGGUAGAUUUAGAAUCUGUGAAUGUAAUUAUAAAAUUGCAA
rnacentral:rRNA from 1 species